UUAGUAUAUUGUGACCUCCAGUCAGUGUUUAUCUCAACCAAAAAAUGGCGGCUACCUUUAAACAGGGAAAACGGGGCUUAAUGCAUGUCAAAUAAGAUUAGCCUGUGCAUACUGAUUAGCCUGUGCAAUGCGCACAAGCUAAUCAAGGACGACAUUUUACAACAGCGGACACCUACAGUGCCUUCAGCGCUUUGAUUGAGAUAUGAUGCCACAAAUUGUUUCACUACAUCCAUGACUGUUGGUACAAAAAUGAGAAGUUACAUAUGAAAAAACUGUGCAGAGUAUUAUGCAACAAUAUUUUAAAGAUGAAAAGACAAAAAUGAAUACAGAAGCCUUGUCACUGCUUACAGAAGUUAUAACAAUUUUUGUUCAAGAAGCAAUUACUAGAACUGCCAAACAAGCUAAGAAAGAUGGAGAGGAUGAGGUCACACUAGAGCAGUUUGAAAAGAUCCUUCCUCAGCUGCUGCUUGACUUUUGAGUGACAGUCCUAAAACCCCCUUCCGGUUGGACAGUGAUGGGAGCAGUUGUACUCUUAACCAUUGGUGAUAUCCUGAUAAAACUUGUGAACAAUAUAUUAUUGAGCUGUUCUCUUGGAACGGGGCUUUCUGCAUGUGUGUAAUGUGUCGUCCCAGACUUUGCAGUCUGCACAGGCUAAUAAUCUACGAAAAUUUCCGACUGACUUAAUGUAUUUUAUGUUUUAAAAAAGCCCCUUCUUAGCAAAAAUCCGGUUAAGGCGGAAAGUGUCAUCCCUGAUUAGCCUGUGCGGACUGCUCUGGGACGACACUAUACGCACAUGAAUUAAGUCCCAUUUCCACAGAGUGAGCCUCAAAUGUACAUGUUUACAUUUAUUUCACAUACAUGCAUGGUAUUUUUGUUUAUAUGUAUAUGUGUGUGUGUGUGGAUGAGAGUGUGUAAUAGUUACCUGUUAUUUUGCAUCUUUUCUGUGACCAGCAUGCUGUUAUCUUGAUACCCACUCUUGUAUUGGUUAUGAACAAAUGUUGGAUUCUCUAUAUCAAGUCUUCGAACUUCUGAACUUCUAAUUGUUUUUUCUAAACGUGUUUUCAGGCUUUUCUUAAUCUUGUGAUGAUCAUUUUUUGUUGUUCAGCGUUGGAUUGCUAAAGUUUAAACAAUUAAACAGACAAUAUGGCAGUUUCAAUUGGAUCUCAGUGUGUAAAAGUAUUAUAAAUCAUCAAAGUCAAAUACAUAGACAUGUGUAUGCUUAAAAUGCUAUGUAAAAUAUGAAAGAUAUUUAAAAAAACAAUACUUAAAUUGGUACAAAAGGUAUACCUAUACGGGAAGAGUCCACAUCUCUAAGUUUACAUUUAUUCAUCUUAUCUAUGAUUGUUAAUAAUAGUAUGUAUGAACAUUUGUUAACGUUAUCUUCAUGUAUGUUGUAUUAUGGUGUUAAAUACUGUAAAAAUGCAUAUUUGUUGUACAUAAAAUAUGACUAACCCAUAA